rnacentral:rRNA from 1 species
AACCUUUACACUACGCGCAAGCGUGAUAAGGGGAUCCAUAGUGCUCAUGCACUGCAUGGGCUUUUAUCAAGGGUAAAUACCUUGAUGAAUAAGUGGUGGACAAGACUGGUGCCAGCCGCCGCGGUAACCCCAGCGCCACGAGUGGGGAUCGCAUUUAUUUGGCCUAAAGCGUCCGUAGCCUGACUAUUAAAUCUCUUGUGAAAUCGUUAAGCUUAACUUAACGGCGUGCAGGAGACACUGAUAGUCUAGGGACUGGGAGGCGUCAGAUGUAUGCUAAGGGGAGCAGUAAAAUGCUAUAAUCCUCAGUAGACAACCGGUGGCGAAGGCGUCUGACGAGAACAGGUCCGACGGUCAGGGACGAAAGCUAGGGGAGCAAUCCGG